UACAGAGGGUGCAAGCGUUGUUCGGAAUUAUUGGGCGUAAAGGGCGCGUAGGCGGUCGUGACAAGUCACUUGUGAAAUCUCCGGGCUUAACUCGGAACGGUCAAGUGAUACUGUCGGACUAGAGUACAGAAGGGGCAACUGGAAUUCUCGGUGUAGCGGUGAAAUGCGUAGAUAUCGAGAGGAACACCUGCGGCGAAGGCGGGUUGCUGGGCUGAUACUGACGCUGAGGCGCGAAAGCUAGGGGAGCAAACGGG
rnacentral:rRNA from 1 species